rnacentral:tRNA from 1 species
GGAGGGGUGGUAGAGUGGUCGAUUGCGCCAGUCUUGAAAACUGGAGAGCCGAAAGGUUCCGUGGGUUCGAAUCCCACCCCCUCCGCCA